AGUCUUUGACCUGGUGGAAUUCAGAGCAGUAUUUCCUGCUUUCAAUGUAAUACAGAUGAGUUCCAUGUGUGCCACAUGGUGUUCAAGCUUUCUGGUGCAAGGGCCUGGCCUGGAUCAGCAAGGCCAGCUCUGCCAACCCAAGCUAAGCUGAGCCUUUCCAAAGGAAGCCACAUCAUGUCACAGGCCUGCGCCUUGUAGAGCACCAAGCAGAGACGAUUGUCUUGAUUGCAGAAAUGUAGUUUGCCAUAAAGGUGGAGCAGGAGAAAUUUUUUCCAAAAGGGCAGGGUUCUUAGGUCUAAAUGAAAACCCAGAGAGGACAGAGCAAGGGCAGUUCAAGACUAAAAACUUAUCUGCUCACCAUCUCUUCUGAAGGCCUUGUCACCAAGUAGCUCACACCCAAUACAGUGCUGAGAAGACUUUUGCACCAGGCUCCAGAGAGGAAAUUUAAAAAUCCCUCAUUAGGAAAGAAAGGUACCUCCUCUGUGGACUUCUACUCCCUGUCUCCAAAAUGAUAAGUGCACAGGGCAAAACAAACUUGCUGGAAGAUUUCUACCACUCGGGUUAAAAUUAUGGGGCACAGACUCCAGAUCAAUGUCCUUCUAAUCAGACUAACAUUAACAAAGAUCUUUUCCAUUCACUCUUCCUGAUUCAAGUCUCUGGCAAUGCCUCGUAUGAGACUCUGAUGAUGUAAUUUUCUUGGGAUCAUUGUUUGAGAGGAAACAAAUCCAAGACCUGCCCCUCGAAGAUAUCUCAAAACUGUCAAUGUCAUGAAAGGUGGAAACAAAAAGGCACUGAGACUCGGGGAGCCUAAAGAGACCUGGCAACAAACCUUCACUGGAUCUGCAUCCAAGGGGGGAAAAGCCAUUGAAGAAAUUUUUUGCGACAAUUAAGGAAAAUUAAAU
rnacentral:lncRNA from 1 species